AUGGCUGGUUUGAGAAUGGAAGCCUGGCAUCGUGGUGGUAUGCUCAUUGGGCUUGCGCAGCACAGCCCCCUUCCUUUCUGGGAACUGGCCAUUGCAUCUGCCAGAGUCCGUCUGUCUGCUGCCAGUGCUGUUGCCAGGGAUGAGUUCCAGAAAGAUUUCAGCAACAAAAAAUCAGAUGAGGAUGACCCAGGACAUUUGAAGUAUCAGGGGUCCAGCCCCCUGAAGGUGCCCGUGUGCGUGCCUGGGCUCAGUGCCUCCUGCAGGACAUUUAUAGACACUCUCUGUGCACAGGCAACCCUCUCAGAAAGCAGCACGCAGGCCUCAGAGCCCUAUGGACAGACUCUGGGAAGGCCAGGGGCCCAAGGUCACCCUCCAGCUCUCGAGGAGCCCUCUGAGACCUGCACACUCACCCCAGGGAGCCCCUCCUCCCUCCACCUCUGUGCCCCCCAGGACCUUCGCACCUCAGUCUGUGUUGCAGAUUUUUCAAACAUCUGGAAGGAUCUGGACACAAGACCUCACCCUGGCCCAGAGAUCUUGAUUGUGACACUUUUGAGGAUUUUUAAAGAAAUGGCUUGUCAUCUUUUGAGUUCUUGUUGUCUGAAAUCUGCUCCUUUUUCUGGAAGGGAUCAUGGUAACAGCAUUCUCCGGGUGAUUAAUGAGAAGGCAGAUGGCAGGUCCUUUCCCGUGGAGCAGUCGGCAAGCACUGUGGUGUCCUUUCUCCUCUUUAAAAAGAAUCUAGCGGCCAGCUCAGCUCGGGAGAGCCGGCGGCGCGGCGGGCCUGGCUCGGGCGGCGUGGCGGGCCUGGCUCGGGCGGCGUGGGGGCUGCUGUGGCUGCUGCUGGGCAGCGUCGGGGCGCAGCAGGAGAAGCACAGCUUCCGGGGCUUCCCGCCCGAGGACCUGAUGCCGCCGGCCGCCGCCUGCGGGCACGCGCUGGAGCAGUACCAGGGCGAGAGCUGGCGCGAGAGCGCGCGCUACCUGGAGGCGGCACUGCGGCUGCGCCGGCUGUGCGCGACAGCGAGGCCUUCUGCCACGCCCACUGCGGCGGGCCCGCGCCCGCGCCCACGCCCGGUCCCGACGGCGGCCGCGCGGACGAGUGGGCCCGCUAGCUGCGGCUCUUCGGCCGCGUCCCGGAGCGCGCCGCCUGCCUGCAGCGCUGCAAGCGGACGCCGCCCGCCUUCCAGGCGCCCUACCCGCCGCGGUAGCUGCUGCGCGACUUCCAGAGCCGCCUGCCCUACCAGUACCUGCACUACGCGCUUUCAAGGCUAACCGGCUGCAGGAGGCGGUGGCGGCGGCCUACACCUUCCUCCAGAGGAACCCGAAGCACGAGCUGACCGCCAAGUAUCUCAGCUGCUACCGGGGGAUGCUCGACGUCGCCGACGAGUCCCUCAUGGACCUAGAGGCCCAGCCCUACGAGGCUGUGUUCCUCCGGGCUGUGAAGCUCUGCAACAGCGGGGAUUACCGCAGCAGCACGGAGGACAUGGAGCGGGCCUUGGCAGAGUACCUGGCGGUCUUUGCCCGGUGUCUGGCCGGCUGUGAAGGGGCCCACGAGCAGGUGGACUUCAGGGACUUCUACCCGGCCAUCGCAGAUCUCUUUGCAGAGUCCCUGCAGUGCAAGGUGGACUGUGAGGCCAAUCUGACCCCCAAUGUGGGCGGCUACUUCGUGGACAAGUUCGUGGCCACCAUGUACCACUACCUGCAGUUUGCCUACUACAAGUUGAAUGAUGUGCGCCAGGCUGCCCGCAGCGCCGCCAGGUACAUGCUCUUCGACCCCAAGGACAGCGUCGUGCAGCAGAACCUGGUGUAUUACCGCUUCCACCGGGCUCUCUGGGGCCUGGAAGAGGAGGACUUCCAGCCCCGGGAGGAGGCCAUGCUCUAACACAACCAGACCUCCGAGCUGCGGGAGCUGCUGGAGUUCACCCACAUGUACCUGCAGUCAGAUGAUGAGAUGGAACUGGAGGAGACAGAACCACCCCUCGAGCCGGAGGACGCCCCAUCUGACACCGAGUUUGAGGGGGAGGGUGACUACGAGAAGAGCAUCUAUGCUGACUGGUGGCAGGAGCCGGAUGCCAAGGGUGAUGAGGCUGAGACUGAGCCAGAGCCUGAACUGGCAUGAGAAGGGGGCACCCCAUACCCCUCGAGCUUGGGAAGCCUGGGCCCCAUGGCCCCACCCUCACCAGCCUGAGCAGCAGCAAGAACUUUUUUUUUUUUUUCUGAACAUCUUUCUUAAAUUAAUAGCAAGAACUAUUUAUUAAAAACCUAAGAUGGGGCCGGG